UCAUUUGCUACUGCUAUUGGCGAUGAUGAUCUCCGUGAAACAGCAUAUGAGAUCCUUCUGGCUGCUGCUGGAGCUUCAGGGGGCCUCAUUGUACCGUCAAAGGACAAAAAGAAGGAGAAGAAAUCUAGAUUGAUGAGGAAGCUGGGCCGUAGUAAGAGUGAAAAUGUAAUGACCCAGUCACAGCAUUUAUCUGGACUGGUUAGUUUGUUGGAGACAAUGCGUGUCCAGAUGGAGAUUUCUGAGGCCAUGGAUGUCAGGACAAGACUUGGUCUCCUUAAUGCGAUGGUUGGAAAAG
rnacentral:misc_RNA from 1 species